rnacentral:rRNA from 1 species
UACGGAGGGGGCUAGCGUUGUUCGGAAUUACUGGGCGUAAAGGGCGCGUAGGCGGCGCGAUAAGUUGGGCGUGAAAGGCCCGGGCUCAACCCGGGGACUGCGCUUGAUACUGUCGCGCUGUGAGUCCGGGAGAGGAUGGCGGAAUUCCCAGUGUAGAGGUGAAAUUCGUAGAUAUCGGAAGGAACACCAGUGGCGAAAGCGGCUUCCUGGUCCAGCACCGACGUUCAGGCACGAAAGCGUGGGGAGCAAACAGG